UACGUAGGGGGCGAGCGUUGUCCGGAUUUAUUGGGCGUAAAGAGCUCGUAGGCGGUUCCGUAAGUCGUGAAGUCAAAUCUCUGGGCUCAACCCAGAAUCGCUUCCGAUACUGCGGUGACUGGAGUCCGGUAGGGGAGUGUGGAAUUCCUGGUGUAGCGGUGAAAUGCGCAGAUAUCAGGAGGAACACCGGUGGCGAAGGCGGUUCUCUGGGCCUUACCUGACGCUGAGGAGCGAAAGCAUGGGGAGCAAACAGG
rnacentral:rRNA from 1 species